rnacentral:lncRNA from 1 species
AUGAAAGGCAGAAGAAGCGGUGGCCAAAAGGUCAACAGUUGAUCCAAUCAAAAUUGCCUCCCACUUACCAGUCAUCUCUGAUUUACACAAGUCAACCCCCAGCGUGGAGACUGGAGCUCAAGUCAACUCCCAGCCGAUUUCUUUUUGGCUCCGCCCAAAGUUGCCUCCCACUUAUUCAGUCAUCUCUCUCUCAAUGAAUGA